rnacentral:rRNA from 1 species
UGAGGAAUAUUGGUCAAUGGGCGCAAGCCUGAACCAGCCAUCCCGCGUGCAGGAUGACGGCCCUAUGGGUUGUAAACUGCUUUUAUACACCAAGAAACUUUCGGACGUGUCCGGAACUGACGGUAGUGUAUGAAUAAGCAUCGGCUAACUCCGUGCCAGCAGCCGCGGUAAUACGGAGGAUGCGAGCGUUAUCCGGAUUCAUUGGGUUUAAAGGGUGCGUAGGCGGCUUUUUAAGUCAGUGGUGAAAUCCUGCCGCUUAACGGUAGAAUUGCCAUUGAUACUGAAGAGCUUGAGUACAAUUGAGGUAAGCGGAAUGUGUAGUGUAGCGGUGAAAUGCUUAGAUAUUACACAGAACACCGAUUGCGAAGGCAGCUUACUAAACUGUCACCGACGCUGAUGCACGAAAGCGUGGGGAGCGAACAG